UAGCUCAGUCGGUAGAGCAUGAGACUCAAUCUCAGGGUUGUGGGUUCGAGCCCCAC
rnacentral:tRNA from 1 species